rnacentral:lncRNA from 1 species
CAAUUUCUGCCCGGGGCCCAAAUAACAAAACAAAAAUAAACCCAAAAUAAAAGGUCCAUUUACAAAUAAGCCCAAACCUAACCCUAAAGCCCAAAGAGCCCACAAAACUAAAAAAUUUUUGCAGCAAAAAAAACCUACCAGGAGCCUUUAGCGCCUCAUGCCCCUGCCCAAAGCCAUCAAGCCGCAAUCAACCUCUGGCCUCACAUGCGCGCCAUUGCCACUCGCGUGAGCCUCCGUACGCACAAGUCCAUUGCUUCGUACGACACCUGCAAAGGACAAAAACGAGCAACGCAACAGAAGCAGCAAAAAGAAAAAGAAAAUAAGAAAAAACAAAAAUACAUUUUUUUGUUUUGUAAUUUUCAUUUUAGUUUUGGCUAUAUAAAGCCAUUUUUCAGCGUUUUGUAAGGGAGACGAAGAUUGAAUGUAAAACCGCACAGGCACACUGAAAUACAAAAAAAUUGAAAAAAGAAAUAAGAAACCAGUUCGAAGAAGGUGAUUUUGAGUUUUUUCUUUCUCUCGCUUUUUUCAUUAGAGAUUCUUUGAUCUUUU